GACGAACGCUGGCGGCGUGCCUAAUACAUGCAAGUAGAACGCUGAAGGAGGAGCUUGCUCUUCUGGAUGAGUUGCGAACGGGUGAGUAACGCGUAGGUAACCUGCCUGGUAGCGGGGGAUAACUAUUGGAAACGAUAGCUAAUACCGCAUAAGAGUAGAUGUUGCAUGACAUUUACUUAAAAGGUGCAAUUGCAUCACUACCAGAUGGACCUGCGUUGUAUUAGCUAGUUGGUGGGGUAACGGCUUACCAAGGCGACGAUACAUAGCCGACCUGAGAGGGUGAGCGGCCACACUGGGACGGAGACACGGCCCAGACGCCUACGGGAGGCAGCAGUAGGGAAUCUUCGGCAAUGGACGGAAGUCUGACCGAGCAACGCCGCGUGAGUGAAGAAGGUUCUCGGAUCGUAAAGCUCUGUUGUAAGAGAAGAACGAGUGUGAGAGUGGAAAGUUCACACUGUGACGGUAUCUGACCAGAAAGGGACGGCUAACUACGUG
rnacentral:rRNA from 1 species